UACGGGGGGGGCAAGCGUUGUUCGGAAUUACUGGGCGUAAAGGGCUCGUAGGCGGCCGACUAAGUCAGACGUGAAAUCCCUCAGCUUAACUGGGGAACUGCGUCUGAUACUGGAUGGCUUGAGUUUGGGAGAGGGAUGCGGAAUUCCAGGUGUAGCGGUGAAAUGCGUAGAUAUCUGGAGGAACACCGGUGGCGAAGGCGGCAUCCUGGACCAACACUGACACUGAUGAGCGAAAGCCAGGGGAGCAAACGGG
rnacentral:rRNA from 1 species